CGUAAUGCUGCGUUGCGCGUAACGCGUAAUACAAUAGACCGGGAUGCGUUGAUCGUAAGUCGAUGUUGUGUAAUCGACAAUCCGAUGUAGUCAUUUUGCGAUUCCCAUGCGAUGAUGCAUCUCGCUUUAAGCUUGUUACGCAACGAGUAUGACACGAAUUGCUUGUAUAAUUCGAUCGUAGCAUCGAGAUCCAAAUAUAAACAUUUUUAUCUACUGUCACGUAAUAUGUAUUAAUUAACAGAUUUAUUAUCCCUUUAUAACUGAAAUAAACGUUACUCUGAGAUUGAACCAAGUAACA